GGGGUCGACUGGAAUUGACAGGAAGUGUAUAUUAUAUGCCGGCAUGUCGGGUGUUGAAUGAGCACACGUAAUCAAUUCAUUCACAAUUAUAAUUGGCGAGUCUAACUACGCUAUGGCAGCUUGAUUCUUGAAUAAAGUAGAGAAUUAUUAGGGUUGAGCCCCAUCGGUUCCCCCUGCCACAUCCUACUGUUCUUUGUCCUUGAGAAUAGAGUUUAGGGUGUCAUAAUAAGGAAUAGCCUGAGGUAAGGUCGUGUGCCUCCGGCGAAAUUCAGCGACUGGCAUUUCAGGUAGGUAGUUGUUCGCCAGCCUGAAAUGUGAGAGCAGGAAGAAUAACUAAGCAUGUAGAAGGCCUAUAGAUGCCUUAGCUGGACGAGGGUUCGAAUCCCUCCGACUCCACAA
rnacentral:tmRNA from 1 species